CCUACGGGAGGCAGCAGUAGGGAAUCUUCGGCAAUGGGGGCAACCCUGACCGAGCAACGCCGCGUGAGUGAAGAAGGUUUUCGGAUCGUAAAGCUCUGUUGUAAGUCAAGAACGGGUGUGAGAGUGGAAAGUUCACACUGUGACGGUAGCUUACCAGAAAGGGACGGCUAACUACGUGCCAGCAGCCGCGGUAAUACGUAGGUCCCGAGCGUUGUCCGGAUUUAUUGGGCGUAAAGCGAGCGCAGGCGGUUUGAUAAGUCUGAAGUUAAAGGCUGUGGCUCAACCAUAGUUCGCUUUGGAAACUGUCAAACUUGAGUGCAGAAGGGGAGAGUGGAAUUCCAUGUGUAGCGGUGAAAUGCGUAGAUAUAUGGAGGAACACCGGUGGCGAAAGCGGCUCUCUGGUCUGUAACUGACGCUGAGGCUCGAAAGCGUGGGGAGCGAACAGGAUUAGAUACCCUGGUAGUCCACGCCGUAAACGAUGAGUGCUAGGUGUUGGAUCCUUUCCGGGAUUCAGUGCCGCNGCACGCAUAGCACUCCGCCGUGGGAGGUACGACCGCGAGGUAGAACGUACGAAAGAAGUUAGACGGCGUGAGACGUGACCGACGGACGACGACGAGGGAGGAGG
rnacentral:rRNA from 1 species